GCGCCGGUGGUGUAAUGGUGUAAUGGUGUAGAGCAUUCCCGCCCGGUUAGAGGGAGGUGCGGGUUCGAGUUCCGCCUGGCGCU
rnacentral:tRNA from 1 species